CAAGGUCUUGGUCUUGAACCCCAUAUUAUUUUUAACCCCUAAUUAUACAUGCAAGCCUCACCACAACGGUGAAACAGCCCACUACCCAAAUAGUCGGAGCAGGUAUCAGGUAAUCAACCCACAACACCAAGCAAACAGCCACACCCCCACGGGCUCGCAGCAGUAGUUAAUAUUGGGCCAUAAGCGAAAGCUUGACCUAGCAAGGGGCUUCUACCUAGGGCCGGUUAAUCCCCGUGCCAGCGACCGCGGUUACACGACAGACCCAAAAUAAUAUAAACGGCGUAAAGCACGACUAAAAAAAGUUAAGACAUUAGAGAAUGAAGCCAAACUGGGCUGUAAAAAGCCAUAAGUUACAAUAACCACAUCUAAUACUAAACAAAUUCCACUCGUGAAAGUCAGGACACAAACUAAGAUUAGAUACCUUACUAUGCCUAACUGUAACACAACAAUUAAACUACCAAUUGUUCGCCAAAUAACUACGAGUAAAAACUUAAAAUUUAAAAGACUUGACGGUACCUCACAACAGCCUAGAGGAGCCUGUCCAUAACCGAUACCCCACGAUUAACCUCACCCCCCCUGGCCAACAGUCUAUAUACCGCCGUCGCCAGCCUACCUUAUGAAAGAAACAAAGUAAGCCAAAUAGUCACACACUAGCACGACAGGUCGAGGUGUAACUUAUGGGGGGGCCAAGAUGGGCUACAUUUUCUAACACAGAAUAAACGAAUAAACUAUGAAAAAGAAACUGAAGGCGGAUUUAGCAGUACACUGGGAACAAAAUACCCAGUCGAAAUCAAUGCAAUGAGGUGCGUACACACCGCCCGUCAUCCCUGUUGCCAAACCUACACAAAUCCAUAAAAACAAAAAGUAAUCAAAGCAGGGCAAGUCGUAACAUGGUAAGCGUACUGGAAAGUGCGCUUAGAAA
rnacentral:ncRNA from 1 species